GGUUAAGCGACUAAGCGUACACGGUGGAUGCCCUGGCAGUCAGAGGCGAUGAAGGACGUGCUAAUCUGCGAUAAGCGCCGGUAAGGUGAUAUGAACCGUUAUAACCGGCGAUUUCCGAAUGGGGAAACCCAGUGUGAUUCGUCACACUAUCAUUAACUGAAUCCAUAGGUUAAUGAGGCGAACCGGGGGAACUGAAACAUCUAAGUACCCCGAGGAAAAGAAAUCAACCGAGAUUCCCCCAGUAGCGGCGAGCGAACGGGGAGGAGCCCAGAGCCUGAAUCAGCAUGUGUGUUAGUGGAAGCGUCUGGAAAGGCGCGCGAUACAGGGUGACAGCCCCGUACACAAAAGCGCAUGUGCUGUGAGCUCGAUGAGUAGGGCGGGACACGUGGUAUCCUGUCUGAAUAUGGGGGGACCAUCCUCCAAGGCUAAAUACUCCUGACUGACCGAUAGUGAACCAGUACCGUGAGGGAAAGGCGAAAAGAACCCCGGCGAGGGGAGUGAAAAAGAACCUGAAACCGUGUACGUACAAGCAGUGGGAGCACAGGUUUACCUGUGUGACUGCGUACCUUUUGUAUAAUGGGUCAGCGACUUAUAUUCUGUAGCAAGGUUAACCGUAUAGGGGAGCCGCAGGGAAACCGAGUCUUAAUUGGGCGUUAAGUUGCAGGGUAUAGACCCGAAACCCGGUGAUCUAGCCAUGGGCAGGUUGAAGGUUGGGUAACACUAACUGGAGGACCGAACCGACUAAUGUUGAAAAAUUAGCGGAUGACCUGUGGCUGGGGGUGAAAGGCCAAUCAAACCGGGAGAUAGCUGGUUCUCCCCGAAAGCUAUUUAGGUAGCGCCUCGUGAAUUCAUCUCCGGGGGUAGAGCACUGUUUCGGCUAGGGGGCCAUCCCGGCUUACCAACCCGAUGCAAACUGCGAAUACCGGAGAAUGUUAUCACGGGAGACACACGGCGGGUGCUAACGUCCGUCGUGAAGAGGGAAACAACCCAGACCGCCAGCUAAGGUCCCAAAGUCAUGGUUAAGUGGGAAACGAUGUGGGAAGGCCCAGACAGCCAGGAUGUUGGCUUAGAAGCAGCCAUCAUUUAAAGAAAGCGUAAUAGCUCACUGGUCGAGUCGGCCUGCGCGGAAGAUGUAACGGGGCUAAACCAUGCACCGAAGCUGCGGCAGCGACACUGUGUGUUGUUGGGUAGGGGAGCGUUCUGUAAGCCUGUGAAGGUGGCCUGUGAGGGUUGCUGGAGGUAUCAGAAGUGCGAAUGCUGACAUAAGUAACGAUAAAGCGGGUGAAAAGCCCGCUCGCCGGAAGACCAAGGGUUCCUGUCCAACGUUAAUCGGGGCAGGGUGAGUCGACCCCUAAGGCGAGGCCGAAAGGCGUAGUCGAUGGGAAACGGGUUAAUAUUCCCGUACUUGGUGUUACUGCGAAGGGGGGACGGAGAAGGCUAUGUUGGCCGGGCGACGGUUGUCCCGGUUUAAGCGUGUAGGUGUGUGUUCCAGGUAAAUCCGGUUCACUUUAACACUGAGGCGUGAUGACGAGGCACUACGGUGCUGAAGCAACAAAUGCCCUGCUUCCAGGAAAAGCCUCUAAGCAUCAGGUAACAUCAAAUCGUACCCCAAACCGACACAGGUGGUCAGGUAGAGAAUACCAAGGCGCUUGAGAGAACUCGGGUGAAGGAACUAGGCAAAAUGGUGCCGUAACUUCGGGAGAAGGCACGCUGACAUGUAGGUGAAGUGAUUUACUCAUGGAGCUGAAGUCAGUCGAAGAUACCAGCUGGCUGCAACUGUUUAUUAAAAACACAGCACUGUGCAAACACGAAAGUGGACGUAUACGGUGUGACGCCUGCCCGGUGCCGGAAGGUUAAUUGAUGGGGUCAGCGCAAGCGAAGCUCCUGAUCGAAGCCCCGGUAAACGGCGGCCGUAACUAUAACGGUCCUAAGGUAGCGAAAUUCCUUGUCGGGUAAGUUCCGACCUGCACGAAUGGCGUAAUGAUGGCCAGGCUGUCUCCACCCGAGACUCAGUGAAAUUGAACUCGCUGUGAAGAUGCAGUGUACCCGCGGCAAGACGGAAAGACCCCGUGAACCUUUACUAUAGCUUGACACUGAACAUUGAGCCUUGAUGUGUAGGAUAGGUGGGAGGCUUUGAAGCGUGGACGCCAGUCUGCGUGGAGCCGGCCUUGAAAUACCACCCUUUAAUGUUUGAUGUUCUAACGUGGACCCGUGAUCCGGGUUGCGGACAGUGUCUGGUGGGUAGUUUGACUGGGGCGGUCUCCUCCUAAAGAGUAACGGAGGAGCACGAAGGUUGGCUAAUCCUGGUCGGACAUCAGGAGGUUAGUGCAAUGGCAUAAGCCAGCUUGACUGCGAGCGUGACGGCGCGAGCAGGUGCGAAAGCAGGUCAUAGUGAUCCGGUGGUUCUGAAUGGAAGGGCCAUCGCUCAACGGAUAAAAGGUACUCCGGGGAUAACAGGCUGAUACCGCCCAAGAGUUCAUAUCGACGGCGGUGUUUGGCACCUCGAUGUCGGCUCAUCACAUCCUGGGGCUGAAGUAGGUCCCAAGGGUAUGGCUGUUCGCCAUUUAAAGUGGUACGCGAGCUGGGUUUAGAACGUCGUGAGACAGUUCGGUCCCUAUCUGCCGUGGGCGCUGGAGAACUGAGGGGGGCUGCUCCUAGUACGAGAGGACCGGAGUGGACGCAUCACUGGUGUUCGGGUUGUCAUGCCAAUGGCACUGCCCGGUAGCUAAAUGCGGAAGAGAUAAGUGCUGAAAGCAUCUAAGCACGAAACUUGCCCCGAGAUGAGUUCUCCCUGAGACUUAGAGUCUCCUGAAGGAACGUUGAAGACGACGACGUUGAUAGGCCGGGUGUGUAAGCGCAGCGAUGCGUUGAGCUAACCGGUACUAAUGAACCGUGAGGCUUAACCUU
rnacentral:rRNA from 2 species